GUUUUCAGGCCUCCUGCAGCUGUAAACCCUCCUGCCCCAUGAUGGUGGCACCCAAGUACCAAGAGAUGUCACUUCAUAGGAACUCCUGUCAUUGUUACCAGCAGGAAAUGGAAUUCAUGAAGAAGAGCAGAAGCUCAACUAACCUACUGAUACCUGAGCAGGUCUGGAGUAAAGUUAAAGGCAUAGGAUAUGGAUGUACUGGGAUGAGAUGAAGCUGUGCCUUCCCAUUGGUAACACAAGGAUGGAUAAAGCCACAACAUCAACGUGGGCAGAGAGCUUUCUGAAAUACACCCAAGAGCAGCAUCAGGAUUCCCUGCAAAAGGCAUUUGAAAGCACUUACCAUGGAACCACAAUGAUGAAUUUUAAAGGCAACCAAUAAGAAACUUUUAGAGCAAAUCUCAGACACCACCUGACUGCCAGAUGUCACGUGACCCAAACGUGAAAAUACUCUUCAUCAUUACAGUGCCCCGCGCAGGAGCAGAGCCAACACAACCACGUGUAUUAACAGUUAGAAUUCUAUCACCUAAACAUAAAGGUUUCAAGUAUAGCUAAAGUCCAAUUUUUUUUUUCGUUUUGGCUAGAAUUUUGGAAAAGGUUAAAACACAUUUUAUAAAUAC